UGUCGCGAUGGAUUGCUUACUCAGGGAGGGAGGAGAUGUUGCUAAAUAUGGAUCAAAUUGUUUAAAUUAGUAAUUUACAUUUACAGAAUGUAAACGCUACAGCAAGGCGAAAUUAAAACGAGUGUUUCCAUAUAGCAUUACAACUACAAAGCUGACGCUGGCUAGCUAGCUUAUUUUCAUUGAAAUAGCAUGGCUGGUUAGCUAGCUAGCAAUAUAGUCUUCUGUCUAGCCUGUAACUAAUGGUUGUUACGUUGUGGAAAAGAGCAAUCGGUAUUUUUACUUGUCAUUUGGUUGAGACUAACAUUAGUUUAGAAAGUAAUUGUUUACUUUGUGUAUAUAUGUUGUGUUAUUGGUUUGCUUUGCUAGUUAGCAAGCUGAGAUUGAUUUGCUCAAGUUGGCUAGCUAGUAGCUAAUGUUUUAGGAGAACAGGCUAGUUCCCUGUAGAAUCUAGAAGAUCUGAUGUGCAGCUGCUUCUAUCUGGCUGUAGCAGUGCCCAGACAAGGAAUCUCCAAAUGCUAUGUUGAACGAGCACCACGGAUGAAGGAGGGGGAGGAAAACUGACAGCUUCUUUCUCCAACACCUUCACCAAGUCAUACAAUGUUUGCUUCAUGAACAAUUGGUACAUCUUCUGAAAUAAAUACAGAAGUUUAACGUUUUUUAUGCUGGAUGUGAGUAAUUUGGCAAGUCUAUAGUAUAAUGUAUUGUUUUGGAAUGUUUAUUAAAUAUCUAUUCAGUCACAACUCACUUUUAUUAUUUUAUGUUGCCUUUUUUAAUGUUUGCUAAAGAUAUGUAUGUUUGUAAUGUUAUUUGUUACAUGAUGAAACAGUCUCAUUAGGUUUGGGCUAGACUAUGAUCUGUAAAUGUCUACUACCCUUUUUAAAAAGUUGUUGAUGAAUGAAAAUCGCACCGUUUCAGAACUUGGACAAUGUCAGGAAAUAAGCAGGUAAAUGUACAGCCUAUCAAUGACAAAAUAAACGGUGCAGAGGUAGCCUUAAGAUAA